rfam:Saprolegnia diclina VS20 unplaced genomic scaffold supercont1.41, whole genome shotgun sequence.
ACACUGGUGUUUUUCAACACCACCCAAACCACAAGAAACGAGUUG